AGCCUGAACUUUCUCAUCCAACACCUGUUCAAGUCGGAGGAUGCUGAUUAAUUCAUGAUGGAAAGCUCUUCUUGGACUAAAAGGCCCUCAGCAUUCCUGUCAAUUUCUACACUCCUGAAGCUUCAUCUGGAGACCUCUGUGGAUUCUAUAACUCAAAGACCCAGGCUGACGGCUGGUGGAAUAGCUACCAUCUCAAACAUGGCGUGAUGCUGCAUCAGAGAGAAAAAUAAGCUCUUGCAUUGACAAUGAAAUGUCUACCCUGUAGUGACUUGUGCUUACUUCCACUCACAAGUGAUUGCCCAGAGCUACUUACCUGGCUCCAAUCUACCACUGGGUGUGUACUUGCAAUCUACCAUGUACCUAGAAGAUGAGAGAAACAAAUUAUUAAUGAUGACCAC
rnacentral:antisense_RNA from 1 species